CGGCGCGCGCCGCCCCGCAACAACCAAUAGGAGGAGGGCGAGUGCGCCGGCGCUCUGGGGAGCGGGGCGAGCGCGGGGGAGGGGCGAGGCCGGGGGCGGUGCCUGCGCGCGCCGACGUCAGUUUCGCGGGAAGCUUUGUGCGGGCAGCGGCGCCGCGCCUAGAGGGGCAGUGCGGAGUGUGGCUGGGGACUCGCGCCGGGUCCGUGGAGCUCUGCGAGCUGGCUGCUUUUCGCCUCCCUUGCGGUAGCCUCCGUAAGCUGUUUCCCGCCGCCGUCCUGGCCCCGAGCGCGGAAGGAGGAGGUGGACGGAGCUCGUGCGGGGCCCUCUGGGCGGGCGGGGAGCGGGCGAGGCGGGCUAGGAAGAGGCCGUUGCCGCGGGACGCGGGUGUUUCUGGAGAGACAGCGGACGCCCGGCCCACGCGACCCGGAGGGCGCGGCCUCCCGCGCAGCCUUCUCCGAGCCGCCGGCUCUUCAGCCUCGGGGGCGGCUGACCUCCAGAGCAGCCUGGUCCAAGGCGUCUGGAAACGGAACUCCAGUGAGGCCCAUUAGGCUCCGCGGGAAAGCCGAGACCCGCUCAGGGAGGGACUGGGUACGCCGUGGUGGGCAGCGUGGCUCCCCUGCAGCCUGGAGCGAACGGGGCUAGGUCCUGCGUCCUGCUCCGCCGGUGUCCAGUCGCCCGUGAGGAGGCCUCACCCUGCCUCAAGGGCGACUCCUGCACCUGAGGAGCUGCACAGGCUCCUUUCUGGCUUGCU
rnacentral:lncRNA from 10 species